GACGAACGCUGGCGGUGUGCUUAACACAUGCAAGUCGAACGGUAAGGCCCUUUCGGGGGUACACGAGUGGCGAACGGGUGCGUAACACGUGAGUAACCUGCCCUCAUCUCUGGGAUAACAGUCGGAAACGGUUGCUAAUACUGGAUAUGAGCUUGCAAGGCAUCUUGUGGGUUGGAAAGAUUUUUUUUGGUUGGGGAUGGACUCGCGGCCUAUCAGCUUGUUAGUGAGGUAGUGGCUCACCAAGGCUUCGACGGGUAGCCGGCCUGAGAGGGCGACCGGCCACAUUGGGACUGAGAUACGGCCCAAACUCCUACGGGAGGCAGCAGUGGGGAAUAUUGCACAAUGGACGGAAGUCUGAUGCAGCAACGCCGCGUGCGGGAUGACGGCCUUCGGGUUGUAAACCGCUUUCAAUUGUGACGAAGCUUUUUUGUGACGGUAGCAGUAGAAGAAGCACCGGCUAACUACGUG
rnacentral:rRNA from 1 species